GUACACACCGCCCGUCACAUCAUGGGAGUGGGCUGCAAAAGAAGUGGCUAGUCUAACCUUCGGGAGGACGGUCACCACUUUGUGGUUCAUGACUGGGAUGAAGUCGUAACAAGGUAGCCGUAGGUGAACCUGCAGAAGGAUCA
rnacentral:rRNA from 1 species